rnacentral:rRNA from 1 species
GAACGCUAUCGGUAUGCUUAACACAUGCAAGUCGGACGAAUUAAUUAGGGCUUGCCCUAAUUAAUUAGUGGCAGACGGGUGAGUAACACGUGGGAAUCUACCCAUCAGUACGGAAUAACUUUUAGAAAUAAAAACUAAUACCGUAUAUUCUCUAAGGAGGAAAGAUUUAUCGCUGAUGGAUGAGCCCGCGCCAGAUUAGGUAGUUGAAGUAAUGGCUCACCAAGCCAACGAUCUGUAGCUGGUCUGAGAGGAUGAUCAGCCACACUGGGACUGAGACACGGCC